CCUACGGGAUGCAGCAGUGGGGAAUAUUGCACAAUGGGCGCAAGCCUGAUGCAGCCAUGCGGCGUGUGUGAAGAGGGCCUUCGGGUUGUAAAACACUUUCAGCGGGGAGGAAGGCGCCAAGGUUAAUAACCUUGGCGAUUGACGUUACCCGCAGAAGAAGCGCCGGCUAACUCCGUGCCAGCAGCCGCGGUAAUACGGAGGGUGCAAGCGUUAAUCGGAAUUACUGGGCGUAAAGCGCACGCAGGCGGUCUGUCAAGUCGGAUGUGAAAUCCCCGGGCUCAACCUGGGAACUGCUUCGAAACUGGCAGGCUAGAGUCUUGUAGAGGGGGGUAGAAUUCCAGGUGUAGCGGUGAAAUGCGUAGAGAUCUGGAGGAAUACCGGUGGCGAAGGCGGCCCCCUGGACAAAGACUGACGCUCAGGUGCGAAAGCGUGGGGAGCAAACAGGAUUAGAUACCCCAGUAGUC
rnacentral:rRNA from 1 species